GCAUCAUCAAAGCUUGCUUUGAUGGAUGGCGACCGGCGCACGGGUGAGUAACACGUAUCCAACCUGCCGACAACACUGGGAUAGCCUUUCGAAAGAAAGAUUAAUACCGGAUGGUAUAGUUUUCCCGCAUGGGAUAAUUAUUAAAGAAUUUCGGUUGUCGAUGGGGAUGCGUUCCAUUAGGCAGUUGGCGGGGUAACGGCCCACCAAACCUACGAUGGAUAGGGGUUCUGAGAGGAAGGUCCCCCACAUUGGAACUGAGACACGGUCCAAACUCCUACGGGAGGCAGCAGUGAGGAAUAUUGGUCAAUGGACGAGAGUCUGAACCAGCCAAGUAGCGUGAAGGAUGACUGCCCUAUGGGUCGUAAACUUCUUUUAUACGGGAAUAAAGUUAGCCACGUGUGGUUUUUUGUAUGUACCGUAUGAAUAAGGAUCGGCUAACUCCGUGCCAGCAGCCGCGGUAAUACGGAGGAUCCGAGCGUUAUCCGGAUUUAUUGGGUUUAAAGGGAGCGUAGGCGGGUUGUUAAGUCAGUUGUGAAAGUUUGCGGCUCAACCGUAAAAUUGCAGUUGAUACUGGCGACCUUGAGUGCAACAGAGGUAGGCGGAAUUCGUGGUGUAGCGGUGAAAUGCUUAGAUAUCACGAAGAACUCCGAUUGCGAAGGCAGCUUACUGGAUUGUAACUGACGCUGAUGCUCGAAAGUGUGGGUAUCAAACAGG
rnacentral:rRNA from 1 species